rnacentral:rRNA from 1 species
CAGGGGGGCAUCUGACCUGCAGUCGACGGUGAGCCAAGCUUGCUUGGUGGAUCAGUGGCGAACGGGAGAGAAACGCGUGAGCAACCUGCCCUGAACUCUGGGAUAAGCGCUGGAAACGGUGUCUAAUACUGGAUAUGAGCUGCGGAGGCAUCUUCGUGGUUGGAAAGAUUUUUCGGUUUGGGAUGGGCUCGCGGCCUAUCAGCUUGUUGGUGAGGUAAUGGCUCACCAAGGCGUCGACGGGUAGCCGGCCUGAGAGGGUGACCGGCCACACUGGGACUGAGACACGGCCCAGACUCCUACGGGAGGCAGCAGUGGGGAAUAUUGCACAAUGGGCGGAAGCCUGAUGCAGCAACGCCGCGUGAGGGAUGACGGCCUUCGGGUUGUAAACCUCUUUUAGCAGGGAAGAAGCGUGAGUGACGGUUCCUGCAGAAAAAGCGCCGGCUAACUACGUGCCAGCAGCCGCGGUAAUACGUAGGGCGCAAGCGUUAUCCGGAAUUAUUGGGCGUAAAGAGCUCGUAGGCGGUUUGUCGCGUCUGCUGUGAAAACCCGAGGCUCAACCUCGGGCCUGCAGUGGGUACGGGCAGACUAGAGUGCGGUAGGGGAGAUUGGAAUUCCUGGUGUAGCGGUGGAAUGCGCAGAUAUCAGGAGGAACACCGAUGGCGAAGGCAGAUCUCUGGGCCGUAACUGACGCUGAGGAGCGAAAGGGUGGGGAGCAAACAGGCUUAGAUACCCUGGUAGUCCACCCCGUAAACGUUGGGAACUAGUUGUGGGGUCCAUUCCACGGAUUCCGUGACGCAGCUACGCAUUAAGUUCCCCGCCUGGGGGAGUACGGGCCGCAAGGCUAAAACUCAAAGGAAUUGACGGGGGACCCGCACAAGCGGCGGAGCAUGCGGAUUAAUUUCGAUUGCAAACGCGAAGAACCCUUACCCAAGGGCUUGGACAUACACGAGAACGCUGCAAGAAAUGGUAAGAAACCUCUUUUGGGACACUCGUGAACAGGGUGGGUGCCAUGGAUUGUCGUCAGCCUUCGUUGUCGGUGGAGGAUGUUGGGAUAAAGGUUCCCGCAACCGAGCGCCAAUCCCCUUCGGAUUCCUUAUAUGUGGUUGGC